rnacentral:rRNA from 1 species
GACGAACGCUGGCGGCGUGCCUAAUACAUGCAAGUCGAACGCAGUGGGGGCGGGUGAGUAACACGUGGGUAACGUCCCAUCAGAGGGGAUAACACUUGGAAAAAGGUGCUAAACCGAUACAGAUGGAUGGACCCGCGGUGCAUUAGCUAGUUGGUGAGUGAACGGCUCACCAAGGCCACGAUGCAUAGCGGACCGGAGAGGGGGUGCGGCAACACUGGGCCUGAGACACGGCCCAGACGCCUCCGGGAGGCAGCAGUAGGGAAUCUCGGGCAAUGGGCGAAAGUCGGACCGAGCAAGGCCGCGUGGUGGAAGAAGGUUUUCGGAUCUUAAAAUUCUUUUGUAAGAGAAGCGGUACCUAACCAGAAAGCCACGGCUAACUACGUGCCAGCAGCCGCGGUAAUUC